AGAUCUUAGUCUGAGUCAUAAUUGUUGAUGGCAGAGGCUAAGAAAGACAGUAAAGGGACUUUCAAGGGACUUUAAGAAUUCAAGAACCUCUUUUCAGGACAAGCAGCCAACGAGUUCUCACGGCGUGACGUGGAUGCAUCGGAGAAAAAGACGUGCAAUGCAAUAAACGCCCGUUUCAA